GUGUUGUAUGAAAGAAAAGCUCAACAACUGUCUUGGGGAUGAAAGGUCCUCAGACCUGCACAACACAUACAUGGUUAAUCACAGCCACCCAAUUCAUGGCAUAUAACCAUGGGUUUUU
rnacentral:ncRNA from 1 species